rnacentral:rRNA from 1 species
UGGGGAAUAUUGGGCAAUGGGGGAAACCCUGACCCAGCAACGCCGCGUGAGGGAAGAAGGUUUUCGGAUUGUAAACCUCUGUCCUCAGGGAAGAAGGAAGUGACGGUACCUGAGGAGGAAGCCCCGGCUAACUACGUGCCAGCAGCCGCGGUAAUACGUAGGGGGCGAGCGUUGUCCGGAAUUACUGGGCGUAAAGGGUGCGUAGGCGGCCUGACAAGUCGGAUGUGAAAUACCCGUGCUUAACAUGGGGGGGUCAUUCGAAACUGUUGGGCUUGAGUGUGGAAGAGGUAAGUGGAAUUCCCGGUGUAGCGGUGAAAUGCGUAGAGAUCGGGAGGAACACCAGUGGCGAAGGCGACUUACUGGGCCACAACUGACGCUGAGGCACGAAAGCGUGGGGAGCAAACAGG